AUUGAACGCUGGCGGCAGGCCUGACACAUGCAAGUCGAGCGGGGUUUUCGGACCUAGCGGCGGACGGGUGAGUAAUGCGUAGGAAGCUACCCGAUAGAGGGGGAUACCAGUUGGAAACGACUGUUAAUACCGCAUAAUGUCUACGGACCAAAGUGUGGGACCUUCGGGCCACAUGCUAUCGGAUGCGCCUACGUGGGAUUAGCUAGUUGGUGAGGUAAUGGCUCACCAAGGCGACGAUCCCUAGCUGGUUUGAGAGGAUGAUCAGCCACACUGGAACUGAGACACGGUCCAGACUCCUACGGGAGGCAGCAGUGGGGAAUAUUGGACAAUGGGCGCAAGCCUGAUCCAGCCAUGCCGCGUGUGUGAAGAAGGCCUUCGGGUUGUAAAGCACUUUCAGUAAGGAGGAAGGGUUGUGUGUUAAUAGUACACAGCUUUGACGUUACUUACAGAAGAAGCACCGGCUAACUCUGUGUCAGCCGCCGCUGUAAGAC
rnacentral:rRNA from 1 species